UACGUAGGGUGCAAGCGUUGUCCGGAAUUAUUGGGCGUAAAGAGCUCGUAGGCGGUCUGUCGCGUCUGCUGUGAAAACUCGGGGCUUAACCCCGGGCCUGCAGUGGAUACGGGCAGACUAGAGGUAGGUAGGGGAGAAUGGAAUUCCCGGUGUAGCGGUGAAAUGCGCAGAUAUCAGGAGGAACACCGAUGGCGAAGGCAGGUCUCUGGGCCACUACUGACGCUGAGAAGCGAAAGCAUGGGGAGCGAACAGG
rnacentral:rRNA from 1 species